rnacentral:rRNA from 1 species
GACGAACGCUGGCGGCGUGCCUAAUACAUGCAAGUAGAACGCUGAAGGAGGAGCUUGCUUCUCUGGAUGAGUUGCGAACGGGUGAGUAACGCGUAGGUAACCUGCCUGGUAGCGGGGGAUAACUAUUGGAAACGAUAGCUAAUACCGCAUAAUAGCAGUUGUUGCAUGACAACUGUUUGAAAGGUGCAAUUGCACCACUACCAGAUGGACCUGCGUUGUAUUAGCUAGUUGGUGGGGUAACGGCUCACCAAGGCGACGAUACAUAGCCGACCUGAGAGGGUGGUCGGCCACACUGGGACUGAGACACGGCCCAGACUCCUACGGGAGGCAGCAGGAGGGAAUCUUCGGCAAUGGACGGAAGGCUGACCGAGCAACGCCGCGUGAGUGAAGAAGGUUUUCGGAUCGUAAAGCUCUGUUGUAAGAGAAGAACGAGUGUGAGAGUGGAAAGUUCACACUGUGACGGUAUCUUACCAGAAAGGGACGGCUAACUACGUG